UAUUUGUCAAACACCCUUUCGAGUUCUUUCAAGUGUAAUUUAAUAUACCUGGAUGGAUUUAAUUAUAUUAAAACCUAUUUUGUUUCGUACGCUUCCGAAUUAAAAACCAGAUGAAGUUGUGUUCAACUUAAGAUGGAUAUAAGUUUGGGUUUUUUAAAAUGUCCUGCAUUUGCUUCGAUCAAUAAUACUACUAGAUUCGCGAUUAGCGCUUCAAAAACGGCCCGAAAAAUAAGACCACAAAUAAAUUUGUGGUCUUAUUUCAAAUUAGUAUGGUCCAAUCAUAGCCAACACUAAGACGUCAAAACGCUGCAAUGCGCGUUCAAAAACUGAGUAAAAAACCACCGUAACACCAAGGUUUUGGAAGGAAUAUCUUUUUUUGAUUUCCUAGUAGCCCCUUGUCGCUGUGCACAAUGGAUAUAUAUUGUCGCGAAAGAAAGAGGAGAAGAAAUAUUGAACCCUUAUAAAAAUUCUAGAAUUGUUCAAUGGUGGUGGCAAAUCAAUGCAAAAAAGUAUUAAAAAAACUUUAUAUGUAUGUGUAAAUAUUUUAAGCGUAUAUGCUGAAAAGGAUUUGUUUUCUGGGGGAAACGAACACAGCCAUAAAAUAAGCCUAAAUUAAACUGAUUAUAGAAAAAUUCAUUGAUAUAAGAUUACAUUAUAUUUGUAAAAAAGAAACGGCUCAUAUAAAAAUGACUUCUAAAAGACAGCUUUAUAACAAACUGAAUCUGUUUAAAGGUAAUUAAACCUACAUUAUUGUUUUAAUUACUUCUGUAUAAAGAAUACGUGGAAAACAUGUUUCGUGUUUCCUUUCAUAUUUUUUUUACUUUAUUCAAUUUUAUUUUUUAUCACCUAUUUGUUGUAAUAGCGGCAAUGUAAAAUAUUAUCUACUACUUUUUUGAAUCGGUCAAAAAUAGUUGCGACCAUACAAAACAAACCUAAAACAAAUAUGUAUAUACUGCAACUCUAUGUCUUUCAAUACUUACUGUGUUCUGAGCAUUGAAAUGUAAUACCAAGAACUACAUCUAGUUCCACAAUACAAUAAGCACGAAAUUUUAAACAAAUAUUUUUAACCUUAUAAAUUAGGCUUUAAGUAUCAUUUUAGAAUAAAUAUUUUUGUACUGAUGACUUUUUAUGUUCAAGUGACAUUUUAAAUUUAUUCCAUAAUAUUCUUUUUCUGACGAAAGGACCUAAAUACAUAUAUUUUGCAAUGGUAAUUAAACUUUAUAUUUAAGUAUUAAGGUUUAUAAUAAACUGAAGUCGUUAACAUUAUUAAA